GCGCCCCCGCGGCCAGCCCCGAGCGGUGUCCUCCCGGGAGCCGCCUCCCCGCGGCCUCUUCCCUUUUGUCGUGGAGCCAGCGCUUGCGGGUCACUCUCCCCGCCGCCCCUGCUCCGCGCGCUCCUCUGCUCGGUGCCGCGAUUGUCGACAUGCUGCGCUGCGGCCUGGCCUGCGAGCGCUGCAGGUGGAUCCUGCCCCUGCUCCUGCUCAGCGCCAUCGCCUUCGACAUCAUCGCGCUGGCCGGCCGCGGCUGGCUGCAGUCGAGCGACCACAUCCAGACGUCCUCGCUGUGGUGGAGAUGCUUCAGUGAGGGCGGCGGCAGCGGGUCCUACGACGAUGGCUGCCAGAGCCUCAUGGACUACGCGUGGGGAAGAGCGGCGGCUGCCAUGCUCUUCUGUGGCUUUAUCAUCCUGGUCAUCUGUUUCAUCCUCUCCUUCUUUGCGCUCUGUGGACCUCAAAUGCUUGUCUUCCUGAGAGAGCUAAAUGAAGAUCCCAGGAACUAUGUUAAAUCCCUCCCAAGGGCAUGCCUCCCAUAA